AACGAACGCUGGCGGCAUGCCUAACACAUGCAAGUCGAACGAGACCUUCGGGUCUAGUGGCGCACGGGUGCGUAACGCGUGGGAACCUGCCCUUAGGUUCGGAAUAACUCCCUGAAAGGGGUGCUAAUACCGGAUAAUGUCUUCGGACCAAAGAUUUAUCGCCUUUGGAUGGGCCCGCGUUGGAUUAGCUAGUUGGUAGGGUAAAAGCCUACCAAGGCGACGAUCCAUAGCUGGUCUGAGAGGAUGAGCAGCCACACUGGGACUGAGACACGGCCCAGACUCCUACGGGAGGCAGCAGUGGGGAAUAUUGGACGAUGGGCGAAAGGAUGAUCCAGCAAUGCCGGGUAAGUGAUGAAGGCCUUAGGGUAGUAAAGAUCUUUUACCCGGGAUGAUAAUGACAGUACCGGGAGAAUAAGCUCCGGCUAACUCCGUG
rnacentral:rRNA from 1 species